rnacentral:rRNA from 1 species
GCUGCAUGGCUGUCGUCAGCUCGUGUUGUGAAAUGUUGGGUUAAGUCCCGCAACGAGCGCAACCCUUAUCCUUUGUUGCCAGCGGUCCGGCCGGGAACUCAAAGGAGACUGCCAGUGAUAAACUGGAGGAAGGUGGGGAUGACGUCAAGUCAUCAUGGCCCUUACGACCAGGGCUACACACGUGCUACAAUGGCGCAUACAAAGAGAAGCGACCUCGCGAGAGCAAGCGGACCUCAUAAAGUGCGUCGUAGUCCGGAUUGGAGUCUGCAACUCGACUCCAUGAAGUCGGAAUCGCUAGUAAUCGUGGAUCAGAAUGCCACGGUGAAUACGUUCCCGGGCCUUGUACACACCGCCCGUCACACCAUGGGAGUGGGUUGCAAAAGAAGUAGGUAGCUUAACCUUCGGGAGGGCGCUUACCACUUUGUGAUUCAUGACUGGGGUGAAGUCGUAACAAGGUAACCGUAGGGGAACCUGCGGUUGGAUCAC